rnacentral:tRNA from 1 species
UCCCUGGUGGCCCAGAGGUUAGGACUCAGCACUUUCACUGCUGGGGCCUGGGUUUGAUACCUAGUCAGGGAA